rnacentral:lncRNA from 1 species
GUGAUUACAGCUAUGAGUGUUUCUGGGUAAGUCUCUAAGAGCAGUGAGUCAUUCUGGGUAAGUUUUUAAGAGCCGUGAGUCUUUCUGGGUGAGUCUCCAAGAGCUGUGAGUCUUUCUGGGUAAGUCUCUAAGAGCUGUGAGUCUUUCUGGGUAAGUCUCUAAGAGCUGUGAGUCUUUUUGGGUAUGUCUCUAAGAGCUGUGAGUCUUUCUGGGUAAGUCUCUAAGAGCUGUGAGUCUUUCUGGGUAAGUCUCUAAGAGCUGUGAGUUUCUGGGAAAGUCUCUAAGAGCUUUCCACACCUGGAUUGUACAAUAUUUGCCCAUUUAUAAUUUUCAACAUUCUUCAAGCUCUGUCAAGUUGGUUGCUGAUCAUUGCUAGACAGCUAUUUUCAAGUCUCACUAUAGACUUUCAAGUAGAUUUAAGUCAAAACUCUAACUCGGCCACUCACUGUCUUCUUGGUAAGCAACUCCAGUGUAGAUUUGGCCUUGUUUCUAGCGCAUCGUGGAACACACCUUACAUUUUUCAUUCUUCAUUAUUUUCCGUUAUUUUAAUUGAUUAUCCCUUACAUGCUUAAAGGGAAAUUCAAUGUCAGCUUCUUUUUCUUCUUUUUUAACACAUCUACCCAUAUGUGCCCUUCUUUGUGAGGUAUUGGAAAACCUCCCUGGUCUUUGUGGUUGAAUCUGUGUUUGAAAUUCACUGCUUGACAGAGGGACCUUACAGAUAAUUGUAUAUGUGGGGUACAGAGAUGAGGUAGUCAUAAAAAUCGAAUGUUAAACACUAUUAUUGCGCUCAGAGUGAGUCCAUGUGACUUGUUAAGCACAUUUUUACUCCUGAACUUAUUUAGGCUUGCCAUAACAAAGGGGUUGAAUACUUAUUGACUCAAGACAUUUCAGCUUUUCAUUUUUAAUACAUUUUGUAAAAAUGUCUAUAAAUAUAUACAUUCCCACACUGAGGUUGGAAUAAUACUGUGACAUUGUAAAAACAAUGAUAUCGUCCUUUUAGUGUAAAAUAUCAAGCUGUUUUGGUGGGAUGGAGUUUUCACCGGCCUGAUUACUGUAUUUUAUUUUUUAGGCUAGUGACAAGAAAUCUCUAUCUUAAGGCUAGGCGUCCAGCUAGUGGGACAACUUCUGGUGAAACUGGAGGGCACACAAUUCAAAUAAAUAAUCAUACAAAUUAUGGAUAUUAAACAUUUAUGUACAUACAAGUGUCUUAUAUCGGUUAAAAGCUUAAACUCUUGUUAAUCUAACCUCACUGUCAGAUUUACAGCGAAAGCAUGCCAUGCGAUUGUUUGAGGACAGCACCCCACAUCAAAAUAUUUUUUCACCAGCACAGGUUUCAUAAAUUCACAAAUAGCGAUUAAAUAUUCACUUACUUUUUGAAAAUCUUCCUCUGAUUUGUCAUCCAAAGGGUCCCAGCUACAACAUGUAGUGUCGUUUUGUCAGAUAAAAUCCUUC